CCGAGGAGGUCCCCAAAUGAUGCGAAGCAUCAUUUUUGCAUGGGACCGACGAACUGCCCUCGAACAAAGUGAGGGGGCAACACUAUAA
rnacentral:sRNA from 12 species